rnacentral:rRNA from 1 species
GAUGAACGCUGGCGGCGUGCCUAACACAUGCAAGUCGAGCGAUCUUCUUCGGAAGAGAGCGGCGGACGGGUGAGUAACGCGUGGGUAACCUGCCCUGUACACACGGAUAACAUACCGAAAGGUAUGCUAAUACGGGAUAACAUAAGAAAGUCGCAUGGCUUUCUUAUCAAAGCUUUUGCGGUACAGGAUGGACCCGCGUCUGAUUAGCUAGUUGGUAAGGUAACGGCUUACCAAGGCGACGAUCAGUAGCCGACCUGAGAGGGUGAUCGGCCACAUUGGAACUGAGACACGGUCCAAACUCCUACGGGAGGCAGCAGUGGGGAAUAUUGCACAAUGGGCGAAAGCCUGAUGCAGCAACGCCGCGUGAGCGAUGAAGGCCUUCGGGUCGUAAAGCUCUGUCCUCAAGGAAGAUAAUGACGGUACUUGAGGAGGAAGCCCCGGCUAACUACGUGCCAGCAGCCGCGGUAAUACGUAGGGGGCUAGCGUUAUCCGGAAUUACUGGGCGUAAAGGGUGCGUAGGCGGUCUUUCAAGUCAGAAGUGAAAGGCUACGGCUCAACCGUAGUAAGCUUUUGAAACUGUAAGACUUGAGUGCAGGAGAGGAGAGUGGAAUUCCUAGUGUAGCGGUGAAAUGCGUAGAUAUUAGGAGGAACACCAGUUGCGAAGGCGGCUCUCUGGACUGUAACUGACGCUGAG